GUCUUGGCUGUAAACGGUGCGCAUUUGCUGUAAACUGAAUCGACCCCGUUUGUGGCGAAGCUAACGCGAUAAAUGCGCCGCCUGGGAAGUACGGUCGCAAGAUUAAAACUCAAAGAAAUUGACGGGGGCCUGCACAAGCGGUGGAGUAUGUGGCUUAAUUCGAUGCAACGCGAAGAACCUUACCUGGCCUUGACAUGCAAGUGGUAGAACCAUGAAAGUGGGACGAUCCCGCAAGGGAAGCUUGCACAGGUGCUGCAUGGCUGUCGU
rnacentral:rRNA from 1 species